UUUUCCUACGGGGGGCAGCAGUGGGGAAUAUUGGGCAAUGGGCGCAAGCCUGACCCAGCAACGCCGCGUGAAGGAAGAAGGCUUUCGGGUUGUAAACUUCUUUUAUGAGGGACGAAACAAAUGACGGUACCUCAUGAAUAAGCCACGGCUAACUACGUGCCAGCAGCCGCGGUAAUACGUAGGUGGCAAGCGUUAUCCGGAUUUACUGGGUGUAAAGGGCGUGUAGGAGGGACUGCAAGUCAGAUGUGAAAACCAUGGGCUCAACCCAUGGCCUGCAUUUGAGCCUGUAGUUCUUGAGUG
rnacentral:rRNA from 1 species